rnacentral:rRNA from 1 species
GACGAACGCUGGCGGCGUGCUUAACACAUGCAAGUCGAACGAAGUGGCGAACGGGUGAGUAACGCGUAUUCAUCCUGCCCUUCAGUGGGGGACAACAGUUGGAACCGACUGCUAAUACCGCAUACUGAAGGAGGGGUUUGCGUCUGAUUAGCGAGUUGGAGGGGUUACGGCCCACCAAGGCGAUGAUCCGUAGCCGGGCUGAGAAGAUGUACGGCGACAAUGGGACGGAGAAACGGCCCAGACUGCGACGGGAGGCAGCAGGGGGGAACCGUCCGGAAUGGACGAAAGUCGGACGGAGCAAAGCCGCGUGAGGUAUGACGGCCUUUGGGUUGUAAAGCUCUGUUAAUCGGGACGCGGUACCGGAAGAGAAAGCAACGGCUAACUACGUGCCAGCCGCCGCGGUAAUUC